GCCGGGUCGUGGGAAAUAAAGAGCCAGGAGCCACCGCGUGCCUUCUUCUUACUGGGAGGGGUUGGUGUAAGCUGGGUGGGUUUGGGUUGGCCGAGGAUGGAGAUGCGGCCGGAGCAAGAACUGGUGGUGAAAUAAGAAGGGUGGGAAUUGAGAGAGUUAAGGAGUGGGAUUAUGGGUGCGUCUAAGGUCCCUUUGGGCGAUUUGUCAGCUUCCGAUGAUCCCAGUGAUGAAAGCAUCGCCGCUUUUCUCUUCUGGAACUCCAUGCCUCUCUCUCCCUCUCUGUGCUGCUGUGUACAGAGUAAAAACCCUGAGCAAGGCAAAGAGAGAC
rnacentral:misc_RNA from 1 species